AGUGAACGCUGGCGGUAGGCCUAACACAUGCAAGUCGAACGGCAGCACAGUAAGAGCUUGCUCUUACGGGUGGCGAGUGGCGGACGGGUGAGGAAUACAUCGGAAUCUACUUUUUCGUGGGGGAUAACGUAGGGAAACUUACGCUAAUACCGCAUACGACCUACGGGUGAAAGCAGUGGAUCUUCGGACCUUGCGCGAUUGAAUGAGCCGAUGUCGGAUUAGCUAGUUGGCGGGGUAAAGGCCCACCAAGGCGACGAUCCGUAGCUGGUCUGAGAGGAUGAUCAGCCACACUGGAACUGAGACACGGUCCAGACUCCUACGGGAGGCAGCAGUGGGGAAUAUUGGACAAUGGGCGAAAGCCUGAUCCAGCCAUACCGCGUGGGUGAAGAAGGCCUUCGGGUUGUAAAGCCCUGUUGUUGGGAAAGAAAAGCAGCAGGUUAAUACCCCGCUGUUCUGACGGUACCCAAAGAAUAAGCACCGGCUAACUUCGUG
rnacentral:rRNA from 1 species